GGGGGAAUCUUGGACAAUGGGCGCAAGCCUGAUCCAGCCAUGCCGCGUGAGUGAAGAAGGCCUUCGGGUUGUAAAGCUCUUUUGUCAGGGACGAUAAUGACGGUACCUGAAGAAUAAGCCCCGGCAAACUUCGUGCCAGCAGCCGCGGUAAUACGAAGGGGGCUAGCGUUGUUCGGAAUUACUGGGCGUAAAGCGCACGUAGGCUGACAUUUAAGUCAGGGGUGAAAUCCCGAGGCUCAACCUCGGAACUGCCCUUGAUACUGGGUGUCUCGAGUCCGGAAGAGGUUAGUGGAAUUCCCAGUGUAGAGGUGAAAUUCGUAGAUAUUGGGAAGAACACCAGUGGCGAAGGCGGCUAACUGGUCCGGUACUGACGCUGAGGUGCGAAAGCGUGGGGAGCAAA
rnacentral:rRNA from 1 species